rnacentral:ncRNA from 2 species
UACUUUUGCCCCCGUUUUGGUGAUGACGUAAAACCAUCCGGUUUCGUCAUAAAGAGGGAAUCCGGUGUGAAUCCGGAGCAGUGCCCGCUACUGUAAGCUUUUGUAAAGUAGAAAACAUUUCUCAUACCACUGUCUGUAAAAGACGGGAAGGUCGUUUUCUACGAGGUAAGUCAGGAAACCUGCCAAGCGUUUUUAUUGCUG